rnacentral:misc_RNA from 1 species
GAUGAAGAACGUAGCGAAAUGCGAUACGUAAUGUGAAUUGCAGAAUUCAGUGAAUCAUCGAGUCUUUGAACGCACAUUGCGCCCCCUGGUAUUCCGGGGGGCAUGCCUGUCCGAGCGUCAUUGCUGCCCUCAAGCCCGGCUUGUGUGUUGGGUCUCGUCCCCCUUCCCGGGGGGACGGGCCCGAAAGGCAGCGGCGGCACCGCGUCCGGUCCUCGAGCGUAUGGGGCUUUGUCACCCGCUCUGUAGGCCCGGCCGGCGCUUGCCGAUCAACCAAAACUUUUUUCCAGGUUGACCUCGGAUCAGGUAGGGAUACCCGCUGAACUUAAGCAUAUCAAUAAGGGAGGA